CUACGUGCCAGCAGCCGCGGUAAUACGUAGGUGGCAAGCGUUGUCCGGAAUUAUUGGGCGUAAAGCGCGCGCAGGCGGAUUGGUCAGUCUGUCUUAAAAGUUCGGGGCUUAACCCCGUGAUGGGAUGGAAACUGCCAAUCUAGAGUAUCGGAGAGGAAAGUGGAAUUCCUAGUGUAGCGGUGAAAUGCGUAGAUAUUAGGAAGAACACCAGUGGCGAAGGCGACUUUCUGGACGAAAACUGACGCUGAGGCGCGAAAGCCAGGGGAGCGAACGGGAUUAGAUACCCCGGUAGUCCUGGCCGUAAACGAUGGGUACUAGGUGUAGGAGGUAUCGACCCCUUCUGUGCCGGAGUUAACGCAAUAAGUACCCCGCCUGGGGAGUACGACCGCAAGGUUGAAACUCAAAGGAAUUGACGGGGGCCCGCACAAGCGGUGGAGUAUGUGGUUUAAUU
rnacentral:rRNA from 1 species